rnacentral:lncRNA from 1 species
UGAUCAUCAGCAAUUGUUAAAAAAUAAUGAUCUGCUUCGAGAGAGGCCACAAAAAAUGGUCCCCAAGUAUCCAUAUGUAAUAUAUCAAAACAUGACUCAACAAACUUGUGAUCGGAUGGAAAAGGUAAAUGAGUUUGUUUAGCCAUAUAACAAGUAUCACAAUGGUGUUUUGUAGAGAAAAUGGAAAUAUUCGGAUCCAUGUUACGCAACAAAACAAGAUGUUGGUUUGAUAGAUGUGCCAGCCUUAGGUGCCAUAAUUUCGGUCCCAAAAUAGUAAGAGAAUGUGCAGCUAGUAGGCGCUGGUAUGACUCGAUCUCAUGGUCACUCUCCUGUGGGUAGUUAGUGCACCUCUUUAACAACUCCAAUCAUCCUCUAAUGGACUAGCUCCUGAAUGAAACAGUAACCAAAUAAGAACACAAGACAACAAUGGAGAUUUUUGGUCAGUUUGCGAGUUGAUAUCAGAUUGAAUCUAAAACUUGGUACAUACAAAACAUUGUCAAGAGUAAGAGUGAAUGAAAUGUGGAUAGUUCCUAUAUAUGUGAUAGCAAUCAUAAUACCAUUUGGUAAUCUAAUAGACGUGUUCAAGAGGGAUUUCUUAUGUGUAAACAUGUCAAAUGAAUAACUAUAUGGUUAGUUGCACCUGAAUCUAAAAUCCAAGAAUUUGAGUAAGCCUCAGUUGACAUGCAGCUGAGGGAGUUGCUUUUUGAAACAGGGGAAAUGAUGGGAUUUUUACCUAUCAUGUCUGAAUGUUGGUUACCUAUGGGUUCUAAAGUGGAGCUGGCUUGAGGAGAUCAUUUGCAGCAGCAAGACUCGCUGUUUGUUAUCUUUUCCAGAUGUUGCAGUGGCCUUGUAGAGCUUGUGGUUGCGUGGAUUUCCAUUAAUCUCCCAAUAAUUGUCUAUGGAAUGGUUGGUGCCACCACAUUUCUUACAUGGAGCUUUGUUUUUUGAUCAUGUCCCCUUGAAAUUAUUCUUCUGUCCUUGCUUGGAAAAAAUUUUCUAGUUUUGAACUGUUCAAAGAACAUGGUAGUAGACUCAACAGUGGUUUUGCUGCUAUUGAUCAGCUCCUGGUUAGCUUCGUAUUGUAAAAUGAAGUUGAAAUCUUUGUCAAGUGGUGGCAAUGGAUCCCUGAGAAAGAUCUAGUUCCUCAGCCCAUUGUAAGUUUCGUCCAAACCCAUCAAAAAUUGCAUAAUCUGUCUUCUCACUUGCCUCUUCAUGAUCAUGGAAACAGCUCCACAAUGAGUUACCAUGCAGUUAAUUGGUUCCUUAUAUCUCAAUAUUUC